AUGCUCUGGUUUCUCUUCAGAUCAUAUAAAUCUUUCACUUUUUAUUACAUAUUUUUGUGGAGAGGAACAAUUUUGAGUUUCAAUCCAAUUUUGUGAGGCCUUGAUUCAAUGAAGCU